rnacentral:rRNA from 1 species
GACUGCAGGCUGCAACUCGCCUGCACGAAGUCGGAAUUGCUAGUAAUCGUAGGUCAGCAUACUACGGUGAAUACGUUCCCGGGCCUUGUACACACCGCCCGUCAAACCAUGAGAAUUGGCAACACCCGAAGUCGGUAGUCUAACCGCAAGGAGGACGCCGCCGAAGGUGGGGUUGAUGAUUAGGGUUAAGUCGUAACAAGGUACC